rnacentral:rRNA from 1 species
CAGCCGCCGCGGUAAAACGGAGGGGGCUAGCGUUGUUCGGAAUUACUGGGCGUAAAGCGCACGUAGGCGGCUUGGUAAGUUAGAGGUGAAAGCCUGGAGCUCAACUCCAGAAUUGCCUUUAAGACUGCCGAGCUAGCAGGUGAGAGAGGUAAGUGGAAUUCCGAGUGUAGAGGUGAAAUUCGUAGAUAUUCGGAAGAACACCAGUGGCGAAGGCGGCUUACUGGCUCAUACUGGACGCUGAGGUGCGAAAGCGUGGGGAGCAAACAGGAUUAGAUACCCCUGUAGUCCCUGUCUCUUAUAA